UGUAGUUCGUUCUAAUUCCAUGCUAAUGACUUUCUAGAGUAUCUAAUUGAGGUGCUUAUCAUAUUUAUUAUGUGGCUAGUUAUGAUCAGAUUAACUAUCUUUGUCACUAUUCAUUACUUCAUAUAUCUUUUAUGUGACACUUACCCCUGUAUGAAAGAGUUAGAUAAUUGUUCUCAAUUACAUAUGCAAUGAUAGAUACUCAAUCUCAUAUUCUAUUCUGUAAUCACUAUUGAUGAUUGCUAAUCCCUUCCAAGUGGUAAAAAUAUAAAUAACGAUACCUGGAAUACUUCCCGGUUAAAAUGCUACAUCGGUAUUAAUCUGUGCGCU
rnacentral:lncRNA from 1 species